rnacentral:lncRNA from 1 species
CAAGAAACAAGGGAAAGAGAGAUUGUGGACACCUUAGAGCUUCAAACAAACUUCACUACAACCCUUACUAGCACUAGAAGAUAGGAUUUUAUGGAAUGAAAUGGAUGGAAGCAAAUGUUUUGGGUUGAUUUGCACCAAGUAGAAGCUAGAACUUGAAGAGUUUCUCCUUCCUUCUUGAGCUUAGAGAGCCGGCCAACAAGAGAAGAAAAAU